UACGUAGGGUGCAAGCGUUAAUCGGAAUUACUGGGCGUAAAGCGUGCGCAGGCGGUUAUGCAAGACAGAUGUGAAAUCCCCGGGCUCAACCUGGGAACUGCAUUUGUGACUGCAUAGCUAGAGUACGGUAGAGGGGGAUGGAAUUCCGCGUGUAGCAGUGAAAUGCGUAGAUAUGCGGAGGAACACCGAUGGCGAAGGCAGCACUCUGGGACGGUACUGACGCUGAGACGCGAAAGCGUGGGGAGCAAACAGG
rnacentral:rRNA from 1 species